rnacentral:tRNA from 1 species
GGUAAAAUGGCUGAUUAUAGGCGAUAAAUUGUAAAUUUAUUUAUGAAGAUAUUCUUCUUUUACUA